rnacentral:sRNA from 1 species
AUUUGCUGUCUUGCUGUGGAGACAUGUCUAUGUUACAUUCAGAGAACAUUUGGAAUUGAUCUCUGUCUUAUUUUGAACUCUCUUCUAGAUACUUGUUUGCCUUGCAACUUAAGAGAGACCUGCUGGAAGAGCGUUUGACCUGUGCUGACACCACAGCGGCCCUUCUCACAUCCCAUCUCCUGCAGUCGGAAAUAGGAGAUUACGAUGAAACGCUGGACCGAGAGCACCUCAAAGCGAACGCGUAUUUGCCUGGCCAGCAGCACUGCCUUGAGAAGAUACUAGAAUUCCAUCAGAAGCACGUGGGCCAGACACCUGCUGAGUCAGAUUUCCAGGUGCUCGAAAUUGCUCGAAAGUUGGAAGUGUACGGCAUCAGAUUUCACAUGGCUUCUGACAGGGAAGGAACCAAGAUUCAACUGGCAGUUUCCCACAUGGGUGUACUCGUGUUCCAGGGCACCACCAAAAUCAACACUUUCAACUGGUCCAAGGUCCGUAAACUAAGCUUCAAGAGGAAAAGAUUUCUUAUCAAACUUCAUCCAGAGGUUCAUGGACCUUACCAGGACACAUUAGAAUUUUUG